UAAUCAAAUCCUAAACUCUAAAUCCUUAAUCAAAUCCUAACUAAAAUCUAACCAAUUCAACCUAAUUCUAGCAUAGUUUAGAACCUCAAUAUCUAUUCAUUAAACCAUUGAUCUUACUUAAAAUUUUAUAUACUUUUCAAAAACUAAAUUUUCAACAAGAAUAUGAAAUUUGAAGAAAAUUGAAGUUAUCAAAUAGAAGAAAAAUAUCAAAAUC
rnacentral:lncRNA from 1 species